AACUCUAUGCGGUUGAUCACUCGGCUCGUGAGUCGAUGAAGAGCGCAGCCAGCUGCGUGAAUUAAUGUAAAUUGCAGGACACACUGAACAUCGACACCUUGAACGCACAUUGCGGCUCUGGCUCACUGCCAGAGCCACGCCUGUCCAAGUUUCG